rnacentral:misc_RNA from 1 species
AACGCACAUUGCGCCCCUUGGUAUUCCGAGGGGCAUGCCUGUUCGAGCGUCAUUACAACCCUCAAGCAUUGCUUGGUAUUGGGCUCCGCUGCUUACCCAGCGGGCCUUAAAAUCAGUGGCGGUGCCGUCGAGGCCCUGAGCGUAGUAAAUAUCCUCGCUAUAGGGACUCGGUGGACGCUGGCCAUCAACCCCCAACUUUCUAAGUUUGACCUCGGAUCAGGUAGGGAUACCCGCUGAACUUAA